GAAGGCACCGCCCUCGCUGUGGAGCGCUUUGCUUACAGUCUGCUCCCGCUUCAGAAGCGCCAUCGUUUCCGCCCCAGUGUCCCCGAACCCACCACAGGACGAGGCUCACAGUGGCGCACAGUUCGUGCUGCCUUAACCAACGUGUCCAAUCAGGCGUGGACGCUCCUGGGAAGAAUGACCGAGCCGGCCUCCACGGGGGCUUUGGGGCAGAUGCGCGUCCGGUGCCCGGCCCCUUCCACGGCUGCCCCUUGUGGGUGAGGGAAGGUCCCUGCUGGGCUUCACCCUCAGCCCUCGGUUUGGGCCUGGACGGUCAGCUUCUCUCCUGGGCCCUGGACCUGGAGGACCUGACCCAGCACCCUCUACACGGGAACAUUAUGUUAACGGCCCCCAGCGAACACGGUGACUUAACAAAACAACGUGCAGGAAUACAUCCCGAGUGACCCCUCCGACGCGGUGGCUGCCUCGUCCUUACCCGCGGUGGUAACGGGCCGUGCGGGUGCUGGCAGGGUCCUGCCGAGGCUGAUGGACAUCCCGGC
rnacentral:lncRNA from 1 species